UUUAAAACGUCGUGAGACAGUUUGGUCCCUAGCUGCCGUGGGCGCUGGAGAUUUGACGGGGGCUGCUCCUAGUACGAGAGGACCGGAGUGGACAUUCCUCUGGUGUACCGGUUAUGACGCCAGUCGUAUCGCCGGGUAGCUAAGCAUUGAAGAGAUAACCGCUGAAAACACCUAAGCGUGAAACUCGCCUCAAGAUGAGACUUCCCUGGCAGCUUGACUGCCCUGAAGGGUCGUGGAAGACCACCACGUUGAUAGGUCGGGUGUGGAAGCGCAGUAAUGCGUUAAGCUAACCGAUACUAAUUGCCCGUGCGGCUUGAUCCUAUAACCUUGAGCA
rnacentral:rRNA from 1 species